GCCGGGCGUAGUGGCCGGUGCCUGUAAUCCCAGCUACUCGGGAGGCUGAGGCAGGAGAAUCGUUCGAACCCAGGAGGCAGAAGUUGCAGUGAGCCGAGAUAGCGCCACUGCACUCCAGCCUGGGCGACAGAGCGAGACUCUGUCUCAA
rnacentral:SRP_RNA from 2 species